AUCAACAUGACCUUCAUCAUCAUCUUCAUCUGGACUCUCACAGCGUUUGCUCAAGAGUGUAGAGGACAGAUCAGCGUCACUCAGAGUCCCUCAACAGCAGCUCAACCAGGAGAAACAGUGAAGAUCAGCUGUAGAACCAGCAAAGAUGUGAACAGGGAUAAAGAUGGAGAUGAUUAUAUAUUCUGGUACUUACAGAAACCUGGAGAAGCUCCUAAACUCCUGAUUCGUUAUGCAAAAAAGCUUGAGUCAGGAACUCCAUCUAGAUUCAGUGGCAGUGGAUCUAACAGUGAUUUCACUCUGACCAUCAGUGGAGUCCAGACUGAAGAUGCUGGACAUUAUUACUGUCAGAAUUUACACUGUAGAACAAAUUCUGAUGGUUAUUGUGAGGGUGACUAUGUGUUCACACAGUGAUAAAGAGUGGUACAAAAACCUC